rnacentral:rRNA from 1 species
GACGAACGCUGGCGGCGUGCCUAAUACAUGCAAGUCGAACGCAGUGGGGACGGGUGAGUAACACGUGGGUAACCUCCCAUCAGAGAGGAUAACACUUGGAAACAGGUGCUAAACCGAUACUGAUGGAUGACCCCGCGGUGCAUUAGCUAGUGGGGUAGGUAACGGCUCACCAGGGCCACUAUGCAUAGCCGAUCUGAGAGGGUGAUCGGCCACACUGCGACUGAGAGACGGCCAAGACUCCUACGGGAGGAAGCAGUAGUGAAUCUGCGGCAAUGGACGAAAGUCUGACCGAGCAACGCCGCGUGAGUGAAGAAGGUUUGCGUAUCGUAAAACUCUGUUGUUAGAGAAGCGGUAUCUAACCAGAAAGCCACGGCUAACUACGUGCCAGCAGCCGCGGUAAUUC